GGCACUUUGGCGGAGUGGUUAACGCGAUGCCCUGCUAUAAUUCAUAGCUAGGCAUUUCCUUCGGGAGCGUGUGUUCGAACCACACAGGUGUCG
rnacentral:tRNA from 2 species